GAACACCAAGUCCAACCCCCUCCUCCAGGAACUCUCCUGACCCCGAUCUACCCACCUCCAGCCCAAAGCGAAACCAGAACCAGAUUCCAAGGGCUCUACUUCCCUUAAGGAAUGGAGUCCGAAUUGGGGGUGGGUAGGUGUCUGAUAAAUUCAGGUCCUUUUUUCCCCCUCCCUUCUAACAGAAAGAAUAAAAGAAAGAACUAAACCAGGGCAGCACUGACCCCGUUCUUCCAAGAAGCCCGAAUGAAUUUGGCUGUGGUCACCCAUGCGACAGGCAUCUGACCCUCACGACCACCGCUGCCGGCCGCACCCGCGAAACUGACCAGAAAUGGGAGAAGCCGGAGUGCGGCGCGAACCCAAGCCGGCGGCUACCGGCUUGAAGGCGCGGGCCUCUGCAAGCGCUGCUCAGCUUCGAGCUUGGAAGAGCCUCCCACUCACCAACGAACCCUUCAAACACCGAGGCGCAGAUUGACCUCCGGACAGAGCAGCAGCCGACUGGGCUCUGUCCGCCCAUCCAAGCCAACACUGGCUCCCGAAUACAUCAUAAUUUGGAAUAAAAUGUGAAAUCCCGCUCCCCGCCCCCAUGCCGA